AACGAACGCUGGCGGCAUGCCUAACACAUGCAAGUCGAACGGGACCUCCCGGUCUAGUGGCGCACGGGUGCGUAAGGCGUGGGAACCAGCCCUUAGGUUCGCAAUCACUCACCGAAAGGGGACCUAAUACCGGUUAAUCUAUUCGGACAAAAGAUUUAUCGCCUUUGGGUGGGCGCGCGUUGGAUUAGCCAGUUGGUAGGGUACAAGCCUACCAUCGCGACGUUCCUUGGCUGGUCUGGUAGGAUGAUCAGCCGCACUGGGACUGAGACACGGCCCAGAAUGGUACGGAGGGGAGCAGUAGGGAGUAUUAUGCAAUGGGCCAUAGUGUGAUACAGCAAUGCGGCGUGUGUGAGGAAGGCCUUAGGGUUGUACAUCUCUUUUUCCCGAGAUGAUAAUGACAGUACCGGGAGAAUAAGCACCGGCUAACUCCGUG
rnacentral:rRNA from 1 species